UCUGCCUUGUAGUGGGGGAUAACUUGCCGAAAGGUAAGCUAAUACCGCAUACGCCCUAAGGGGGAAAGCAGGGGACUCUUCGGAGCCUUGCGCUAUUAGAUGAGCCUAGGUCGGAUUAGUUAGUUGGUGGGGUAAUGGCUCACCAAGACCGCGAUCCGUAACUGGUCUGAGAGGAUGAUCAGUCACACUGGAACUGAGACACGGUCCAGACUCCUACGGGAGGCAGCAGUGGGGAAUAUUGGACAAUGGGGGGAACCCUGAUCCAGCCAUGCCGCGUGUGUGAAGAAGGCCUUCGGGUUGUAAAGCACUUUAAUUUGGGAGGAAGGGCUUACGGUUAAUAACCGCUAAGUUUUGACGUUACCAAAAGAAUAAGCACCGGCUAACUUCGUGCCAGCAGCCGCGGUAAUACGAAGGGUGCGAGCGUUAAUCGGAAUUACUGGGCGUAAAGCGCGCGUAGGUGGUUCAUUAAGUUAGGAGUGAAAGCCCCGGGCUCAACCUGGGAAUUGCUUCUAAAACUGGUGAGCUAAAGUACGGUAGAGGGUGGUGGAAUUUCCUGUGUAGCGGUGAAAUGCGUAGAUAUAGGAAGGAACAUCAGUGGCGAAGGCGACCACCUGGACUGAUACUGACACUGAGGUGCGAAAGCGUGGGGAGCAAACAGGAUUAAAUACCCUGGUAGUCCACGCCGUAAACGAUGUCAACUA
rnacentral:rRNA from 1 species